rnacentral:rRNA from 1 species
UACGGGGGGGGGCAAGCGUUAUUCGGAAUUAUUGGGCGUAAAGGGCGCGUAGGCGGCUUGGCAAGUGGAUGGUGAAAUCCCUCGGCUUAACCGAGGAACUGCCGUCCAAACUGCUUUGCUUGAGACCGGGAGAGGUGAGUGGAAUUCCCAGUGUAGCGGUGAAAAUGCGUAGAUAUUGGGGAGGAACACCAGUGGCGAAGGCGGCUCACUGGACCGGUACUGACGCUGAUGCGCGAAAGCGUGGGGAGCAAACGGG